AUUGAACGCUGGCGGCAGGCCUAACACAUGCAAGUCGAGCGGAUGAAGGGAGCUUGCUCCUGGAUUCAGCGGCGGACGGGUGAGUAAUGCCUAGGAAUCUGCCUGGUAGUGGGGGAUAACGUCCGGAAACGGGCGCUAAUACCGCAUACGUCCUGAGGGAGAAAGUGGGGGAUCUUCGGACCUCACGCUAUCAGAUGAGCCUAGGUCGGAUUAGCUAGUUGGUGGGGUAAAGGCCUACCAAGGCGACGAUCCGUAACUGGUCUGAGAGGAUGAUCAGUCACACUGGAACUGAGGCACGGUCCAGACUCCUACGGGAGGCAGCAGUGGGGGAUAUUGGACAAUGGGCGAAAGCCUGAUCCAGCCAUGCCGCGUGUGUGAAGAAGGUCUUCGGAUUGUAAAGCACUUUAAGUUGGGAGGAAGGGCAGUAAGUUAAUACCUUGCUGUUUUGACGUUACCAACAGAAUAAGCACCGGCUAACUUCGUG
rnacentral:rRNA from 1 species